CUUGCAAACUAAAGAUGGCGACCGGCGCACGGGUGAGUAACACGUAUCCAACCUGCCGAUAACUCGGGGAUAGCCUUUCGAAAGAAAGAUUAAUAUCCGAUAGUAUAUUAAAACCGCAUGGUUUUACUAUUAAAGAAUUUCGGUUAUCGAUGGGGAUGCGUUCCAUUAGUUUGUUGGCGGGGUAACGGCCCACCAAGACUACGAUGGAUAGGGGUUCUGAGAGGAAGAUCCCCCACAUUGGAACUGAGACACGGUCCAA
rnacentral:rRNA from 1 species